UUUAUAUAAAUUAUACUUAAGCUCAUUUUCUGUUAUUUUUCUCCAUGGUCUCCAAGUCAUUCUUCCCCCAUUAACCAAAUCCAGGAAAAUUGAUGUGAUGCAUUUAAAGGUUUCUUAUUUGAUUUAAAAAGUGACAUUGAGGAUUUUUAGUGAGUAAAGACUUUGGUCUAGUCUUCCUGUAAAUAUGCUGUACAAUUUGGAAUAUGAUAAAUAUUUUUACAGUGUUUUUAUCCUUUUUGGAGCUUGUGUUCAUGAAGAAUCUUCAGUUCCCCUUUUGUGUUUCAUUAAAGAAAUCACAACAUACGAGUUUGGAACGACA